rnacentral:pre_miRNA from 1 species
AUGAUACUCUCUCCGUCCCAAAAUUCUUGUCUUAGCUUUGUCUAGAAAUGGAUGUAUCUAAUUAAUAAUAAAUUUGACUAGAUACAUUCUUAUCUAAACAAAUAUAAGACAAGAAUUUUGGGAUGGAGGGAGUACUUU